GACGAACGCUGGCGGCGUGCUUAACACAUGCAAGUCGAACGGAAAGGCCCUGCUUUUGUGGGGUGCUCGAGUGGCGAACGGGUGAGUAACACGUGAGUAACCUGCCCUUGACUUUGGGAUAACUUCAGGAAACUGGGGCUAAUACCGGAUAGGAGCUCCUGCUGCAUGGUGGGGGUUGGAAAGUUUCGGCGGUUGGGGAUGGACUCGCGGCUUAUCAGCUUGUUGGUGGGGUAGUGGCUUACCAAGGCUUUGACGGGUAGCCGGCCUGAGAGGGUGACCGGCCACAUUGGCACUGAGAUACGGCCCAGACUCCUACGGGAGGCAGCAGUGGAGAAUAUUGCACAAUGGGCGGAAGCCUGAUGCAGCAACGCCGCGUGCGGGAUGACGGCCUUCGGGUUGUAAACCGCUUUCGCCUGUGACGAAGCGUGAGUGACGGUAAUGGGUAAAGAAGCACCGGCUAACUACGU
rnacentral:rRNA from 1 species